AACAUGUUCAAGUGCAGUGGUGUUUAUAAUUAAUCGAUCACAGCAAGUUAGAGAUUCCUUUGUUCCUUCUCCACUCACACUGCUAGUCUUAAAAAGUCAACU
rnacentral:Y_RNA from 1 species